rnacentral:rRNA from 1 species
CACGUAGGGUGCGAGCGUUGUCCGGAAUUAUUGGGCGUAAAGAGCUCGUAGGCGGUUUGUCGCGUCUGCUGUGAAAACCCGAGGCUCAACCUCGGGCCUGCAGUGGGUACGGGCAGACUAGAGUGCGGUAGGGGAGAUUGGAAUUCCUGGUGUAGCGGUGGAAUGCGCAGAUAUCAGGAGGAACACCAAUGGCGAGGCAGAUCUCUGGGCCGUAACUGACGCUGAGGAGCGAAAGCAUGGGGAGCGAACAGG